CCUGGCCUUGCCUUGGGAGACAGGCAGCCACCUCUCCUGCUGUAGUCUGUCAGGACCAAGUGCCCCCCGCUGGCCCUUCUUCACAGGGAGGGGAAUCAGACUCCACCUUUUGCCGGGAGGCAUAUUUAAGAAUUUUCUGGCAUGUUUCAUAACCACACAGAAGCCUGUGACAUAGUCUGGGGUCGUCCUAACUAUGCCUGUGUCAAUGGAAAGUCUCUUGGUGGCUGGUGAUUCACAUCGGUUGUGUGGAGGGACGAUGCGACACGCGGACAAGUCGCUCCAUUUUCUAAGACGAAAUUCUGUGCCUACGUGGGUCCCAGGAAGACUCCCAGGCCUAGAAACACUGUUUCCUGUGACUUGGGAUGUCUUACAUUGGAGUAGAUUGUGAAGCAGUGAUCCCACAGGGGUACAAGAUGGUGUUAGGGACGCAGGAAACUGAAGAGAUUGAACAGGAAACAGGCAAGGGGCCUUGACUUUGGCGUGCCUUUGAUUUGUGAGACAAUAGCAUAGAAGGCCUGUCCUUGGAAGACAGUGGUAUUCCAUACCCGCUGCAGCCACCUGUGGUCUCCAUGAAUGUUAAAACCAUUGGCAAUCAAGUUCCUGGUACCACCAGACCCUCAUUCUCCUGACCCCAGUGUGAAAGGCACUUGGGGUUCCGCGUGUGGAAAUUGGACUGUAGAUAAUUGUUUUGUUAGAGGGGAAUUGGGAGGCUGAGUGCAUUCAAAUGUAUUUCCGAGCAGUAUUCGGAAGCCUCCUGUAAGGACACUGAUUGCACCAGGCAAUGUUUGCCUGAUGCCAGCUCAUUAGGAGAAGCCAUUCUGGGCCUAGCUUGAGUGAGCCCAGGGAAAGAUAAACAGUGUCGCUGUAGCUGGUGCGUUGUUGCUCCCCAGCGUAGCUCGCGGUCUCCUUACCCUUGAUUGAGUUUAUUCUAUGCACGGAGUUUUGCUAAAGGCCUCAGAGUCCCAACAUGCCAGGCCAUUGCCAAAGGGUAGUAGCGCUAACAGCUGGAGUUCCUAUCUGCUGCUGAAUGAUGAAGAGGAACCUGACUGUCACGAGGGCCAAUGCCUUGGACCGUUUGGUAUGGUCCACAAAUGGGUCCAGACAUCGCCACUGUGGGGUCGACGUGGGCUGGCAGACACCUGCGGACACCAGGUAUUUUCCACUUUGGGGUCCAGCAUCACUGACCACCUUGUCCGAGGCUGGGCAGAUGCCCGUAAGGCCAGACCCCAGGCAAGCAUUUCUGAGCGUGGGAUGGGUGGGAUCGGUGGGAUGUCGUCAGGCGAAUGGCGUGUUAUACAAAGAUGAGUUCAUCAGUAAACAAAUACAAGGAGAGAGAAAGAGAAAGUGAGCAAAUAAAUUCCAAAUAAAUUUGGAAAACUGGGCUCAAGAAAGGGAGUUUUUUGCUUCUUUUGAAACAAGAUCUCUCAGAGCUGUUCGUCUGCCACCAUGCAUGGUGACCGUCCAAAAGGAGAUGUAGCAUUUUCCACACCUCAUUUGACCAGUAGAACCAUCUGCUUGUGACCACCGUGGGUGACUUAGUAUUCUAGCGGCGACUUGGGGGUGUGCUGUCCUACACGAGAGCUGCUUGAAGGGUAGCGGGGGAAGUACAGAAAUCGAGAGGAAGCUCUUAGCAUUUUUCUAGCAAUUGCACCGAGUAAUUUGUAUUUGUCUGUUGAGCCUGAUAACAAUGUCAUGGGGCUUAUAGUUUGUGUUUCUUUGUUUUAUUAAUUUUAUGUUCCUAGUAGUUAAUUUUUAGGGCACUUUACAGAAAAUUUCCAUCUGCAACACACUGAAAAUGUGCAAAAACAGUCCUUCCCCAUCUAAUCUGAGAGCAUCCCCACCAACAUCUAGAUCUUUCCGGCACCACGUCAAGAGCACAAAGGUUAUCCCGGAUAGACUCUGGGCUACCUUCUAGCAUCCCUGAUCCCCGCCCGUCGUGGCCCGUCCACCCCGAGGCCCAGAACGAGGAGCCACAGCAUGUGCCUCGUCCGAAGAGAAGUUCGGGAGGAGCCAGAAGGAGACAGCCGUCGCCCCACGCGACCUGCCGCGUGCAGCUCCGCUCACGUGCCAGUCGCCCUCCCACCCUGGGAAUAUUGCUGACAGCUCUUUGAAAACUUAAGAAAGUAUGACAGGCUUUCAGGAAUGGUGACUUCCCACCACGGCAGGGAGGCAUGGGAGGAUUUAAGCAGCUCGCUUUAAACAAUGCUUGGCUUUUGUUCUCCCUAAUCGUGCUGGUCAUGUGGGUUUUUUCCACAGCUUUCUGAAGUGUUCUCCAAUAGAGGACUUCAGGCUUUUAAAAACAGUAAUUUUGGUAACAAUGGUAAUUACUUUAAUUGGAGUUCUUUAAAGGUAGCUCCUUCUCGCCCACCUCCUCCGAGACAUGAAGCAUGCUGUCACCCAUUGCGUCACUCCAAAUCAGCACGGUAUUCUUUCCUCUUUAGCGCUGUUAAUGGGCAUGCUAGGAGGGAAGUCAAAAAACUUCCAGAACUCACUAUUUUUUAGUCUAGAAUAAUUACAAGUAAUUUUUCCCUUGUUUCCAGGUAGUGGUAGAUAAUCAGCUUUAUGUGUAGAAAAAUAUGCACAUUGUAUACGGGCUCCCCAGUUAGGCCUUUCACAGGGGAUUAGAACUCUUAACGCCCCACUGCGCUCCAUUUCGUCACAAAAGCCUUUGGCACAAUCUUUUUGGCUGUCAUGCUUCUGGGGGCCUUGUGUAGUUAUUAAGUGACAUUAGGUAGCCCUGCAUAGGGUCUUUUAUCCCCAAAUAGCCACAUUCUCUAGAAUAGUUGUUUGAGCUGCUUGAUACACCCUCGGGAGGUAGGCAAAGUAUCAUGACCUUCCCUUUCAGUAGGAGGCAGGUGAAGGGCUGCAGAACCUUCCUGAAGGAACCCCAUGGAUGUGGGGUCAGGGAGCUCACAGAGACACCCACAAGGACAAGUAUUCCCUCGGGGCCCGGCUGGACAACUUUCUCCACUUACCACCUUUACUGUGACAAUGGGCCAACCCUUUGGCCUCGGACUUCUAUUUCAUGCCAAGUUGUGAUGUCCUGGUUGGUGUUGGGUGAAACUGCUGUGAAAUGUAUCCUAGAACACAUUCCCUAGAAGCCUGAGGAGCUUUGAACUUGGCCUCUGCAGCUCCUGGAUUGUGAUGAGCAAAAGCAAGUGCGAUUCUGAUGCUGCCAUUUGCUCUGUGCACAAUGGAGCAUCUCAGCCUCAAACAGCCACGUACAGGCCAACAGACUCAGCAAGCAUGCUUCCCCUCUUCGAAGCAUCCUCGCUAAUACAGGAAGAAGGAGCUAGAGAAUUAGGGCAGCGCCGUGUGCCUAACAAUGAGUGGAUCCGCCACCAGCGCCUGCUCAUACGACUACAAGAGCUAACCAGGGGGAGAGAACCUCCCCCUGGAAAGCGCGCCCCGGCUUUGGACGUUUCUUGCCAAAACCAAUCGUACCUGCAUCGGAUUAAGUCUCUAGAUCUAAAUAUGAACUCAUAGGAAAUUCAAAGCACAGAGAAACCCAUUAAGUGACAUCUUGGGGAUGCAACCAGCAAAAUCCAGACUGUGGGAUCACUGGCUGGAUAUUCGAUAAUAAUCAGAAAUUGAUUUCAUUUCUAAAAGGAAUGAUAAUGGUUUUAUGGAUUUGAGCUUAAAAGCUCUGAUCUUUCCAAGAAACCUUCUGAAGUAUUUAUAGAUGAGGUGAUACAAUGUCAGGGGUGGACGUUGGGGAAGUGGGGGGGAUUAUGGGUAAAACGAGGCUGGCUAUGAGCUGGAAAUCGUUGAUUUCAGGUGACAGGGCAUGGAGUUAUCUUGUCCACGUUGGCAUAGAUUUAAAAUGUGCGUCACGUGGAUGCGGCUGUUGGUGUCGUGCGGAUGGGACAGUGGUGUGUAACGAGGCGGUUUUAGGAGGGACGGGAGAAUGAACCAGGGCUGGGUCCGAGCCCCAGGGGGAGGGAGAGGCAUGGCUGUGUCUAAGCCCAUAAACCCCCCCAUCGGUGUGCCCCCGGCAGUAUGGCUGGCACCAUCCAGGCUCCUGACUGCACGCAAGCUGCUGUGCCUGGGGUGGGGGCGGGAACUGAGAACCGCUACCCACCCAGCCGGAGGCACUGUUUGCCGAGGGUUCGUGAUCUGCUGCUGUCUCACCUCCAAGGUCCGGUCCCCUGUGAUGACUCCUGCAGGCAGUCAUGCCCUCUUCCAGGCUCCCCAGCUCCUCAUUCAAACUUGCGCGGAUGACAGUCUCACCUGCAUUUCGGUAGGUUGUGUUCGGCCCCUCGUCACCACUGCCACACGUCCGCAUGGGGCAGGGCCCAUGAGGGAGCCCAGAGCAACUCCACACGGGAGGCAUUUGAAACCUUCCUAUGGGUUAUGAACCAGACUGCCUCCUCGUUCCCCUGGCAGGCAAGUUGAAAGGGAUUGACCAUAAACUGAAAGCAGAGUGUGGAUGCUGGACAAGAAGGGGCAGCUUUGCCCUUCAUGGGGUCUGACAUUGGCCAGGAGAUGCUCAGCCAGGAUCCAGACCCUCAGCUCUUUCCACAGCCCCUCGAGCAGCUGCGUCUGAACUCCUUCCUCCGCGUCAAGUGCAUUGAGGACCUAGGACCAACGUGAUCCUGCAGGCGCUUGCCCUGAGGUCCCGCUCUGGGUCUGAGUAUACCACGUGCUCACACUCUGCUCUGCGAGCUCAGAAGGUGCCCUUACAGGCAGCCUUGCCCUGGGAACCUGGGGAGAAGGUCCAGCGAUGGAGAGAACUCAGGUCCACCCAGGGCACCCUGGAAGGGAGCCUGAAGGAGAAGGCCUGGGGGCCACAUCCCAGUCUCUGCUCGGAUUUCUGGGGGCUGGGCUCCGGGGUGCCACCUUCUGCCAGUGCUGCUGAGACCUUGGACCCGUUCCAGGCCGAGUAAUUACAUUCUGCCUGUUAAUCUCCCUCUGCAGCCGCAACUGGAUACUGUUGUCAUUGCGUUUGCUUUUUCAAACCAGCUUUCAGAGUGUCGUCUGCCGACUGUGCUACCAGGAGCUGUCUCACAAGGUGGAGACACAGAGCAGAACCAGGGCCUUGCUUCCAGAGUGCCAGUCCCUGUUCCCACUGCUCGGAGCUGCGACUCCUUGGGGACAGAUGGCGGUGGCUGGGGUGAGGAGGUGCUGGGGACCUUCCUGUCUGCUUGUCCCGUUCAGCUCACGAAGGGGCAGAGCAAGGCAGCUGCGGUGCUGAGCGACAGACACCUAGCGUGGGUCCCCCUGGGCAGCAGCCCACCAGGGUCCAGCCUGGCUCUGCGGGGGGCGUGUCUGAGUGGGGUAGACCUCUGCCAUGUCUUCUGAUUUUACCAUGAUUCACUUUGGAGUCUGGGAAUGCGAAAUCAGGUCGCCUACUCCUGGUCGACCGUUUGGCCCACCAGGUUCCCUUGGCUCCAUGGCAGCCAAGCGGGGUUGGAAUGAGCAAAGCAGGGCCUUUCUGCAGGCACAGCACUCCCAACCCCUGGGUCAGAAGGACCUAGAGAGUAUCCAGCCCAGUCAUGGUCAGACAUUCCAUAGUCACAGAAGUCUUCUUGAAACGUGGGUAUCAGAGACCAGAAGAGGGGUUGCUUGAUUCAUUCCCCCUCCCCCAUUGCCCUCCUUCUCACCCUUCAGGGCUUGAAUCUCACACGUGUUGUGGCUCAUGGGGGCUUCUGGGCAGUGGUGCAAUGCGGCAGAAUCCUGGGGCCCAUCCGAGCAUGGCUUGAACCCGCUGUCCAAGUCCAACCUCCUCAUUGUGCAUGUGGGAAACCGAGGCUUGAGGUCACACAGCUGUGAUGGGCAGAAGCAGGACCAGAACUCCCUCAGCUCUUUAUGACCUGUCCAAGGUUCUCCUGUGGCACAGCCACACUCCUUUUGUCUCCUCCAGCACCCCUGAAUCUGUGAGCAGGGACAUAGGGGUGCCUGUCACCCUUGGCAUGGCAGCAGGAGACCUGGCCAUUCAUUCUCUGGAAGGCAUCCUAACCGUCCUCCCCCAAAAUACCACUGUCUAAAGGCCCCUCGGUUUCAAAGAAGACUGGAAAGCCACCCACCAAAAUGGUAAUGAUGGCAAGUACUUCAUAGCUCCUGGGGCCUUGGGAGAGGAGCACAUAGAAAUCACAAGAAAGAAUGAAGUGGGAGAUUAGGAGGAGUCCCCUGCACCCCCACCCCCCCAUUAGCAAUGGGGAACAUCAGUGAUUGCCUAGUAAGAAGGGAGGGUUUGAGUGGGUCCCCAAAGUUCUCUUCCUACCUGGAGCCCUGUGCAGAAUGAUCAGUAGUGGUUAAGGCUUCAGGCUCAGCCUUGCUUCCUCCUGAGCUCUGAUGCCAGCUCUCAAGGGCUCCUGGGAGUUGAAAUGGCCGAGGUAGGAGUGAAAGCUCGGGAGCCGGAUGGAGGGGUUUGACAUACUGGCCGUGAGCUUGGGUGGCUUCACUGCUCUGAACCUCAGUCUCCUGGUCUGUAAGACCGGACGAUUAGCAGUGCCUGCGUCACUGGGCUCGAUGGAGCAUAAAAUGAAGUCGUCUGUGGAGGAAAGCAGAGUGCCAGCACAAAGAUGGUGCCCAGCAAAUGUUAGCUUUCUCCUACUGUCUUAAACGGCACUUAUUAAUCAGUAGUUUCCUCUACGAUGAGUGAUGGGGCCCAGGGACUUAGGAGAAGCGGGUGGUAGGACACACGGGACAUGGAGAGUGCAAGCUGGGGGCCAGAGCGCAGGAGCAGGAAGUCUUUGUGGGGUUUCCCCUUGGUGACCCCCCUUCUCUGCCGGGUGGGCUGUAAGGAAUCUGCUGGGGUGCCUCAGGAGGAGAGCUCUCGGGGUCACAGUGGCCUCCUGAACCCUAGCCGUGGUCCCUCUGCUUGCCACAGCGAUGGCUCUCUCCUGGGCCCCCACUAUGUGAUGUAACGGGGCCGGCCAAGGCCAUAGGCUGUGAAACUUUCAUGUCCUGCUUGGAACCCCACACCCCCACAUCCUCUUUCCUCAAAUGGCAGGCUGUCGGGACUUGCCUCUCUGCAGGCUGUGUGAUGGAUGGGAAUGUGGGAGGGACGAGACUUAGGUGGGUCAUCGCGUUGCUCACACCUCCGAGAAGCACCUCCCCCUGCUCAGGGACUAAACGGGAAUUUGCUUGAGGGUCUGGAUUCCCUUGGGGACAUCACUCACCUGCAGGAGGUAAUCCCAGCCUGGUGGGUCAGGAAGGCCCAGAACCAUGAGUCUGUUUCCAUUUGGUUUAGUGUGAGUGAUUUUAAUGGGACCAGUUAGAAACAAUCUACCUUAUGUGUGUGAGGCACUUGACAACGCUUCUCGCGUGUGGUAGGAACCGUCCACUGCUGUUCUGUAAGGGAAACCUUGCUGGCCGGCUGGGUUCUUGUGCCUGGUGCUCCUAGGCCGGAUUUCUUUGCUUUAUGCGCUUGAAGUCAGCCGAUUUCGAAGCAAGGGGCUAUGAUUGGAGGGGGGCUAGGGCUCAGGGUCAGACAGGUGGACAGUAAGGGGCACUUCAUUUUCUUAUGGCCCCUGGCAGAGGUCACAGUGGAGUCCUGGCCAGAAAUUAUUUCAACCCCGGAAUGUUCCCUGCUUUCUAGCAGCUGCAGACGCGUAGGGGCCAGUUUGGCACAUGUAGCUGAAUGCUCAGAGCAUCUUGGUAAACUUCCGUAUCCCGGUUAUCCGGUCACUGUCAAAUCCUUCCCUGUCCUGGAGAAGGGGUCCUCGCUCAGACCCUGUGGUUCAUGUGGGACAAAUCAACACAAAGCAGGCUGUGCCUAGCUGUCUUCCCUUUUCCUGGCAAGCAGCCCUCACAGCUUCUAAAACCCUCUUCUGGCUCUAGUGAUCUCACAUGCCCCCUGCCUACCAGGGAAAUUAGCCAUGGAACCUUCUGGAAUGAUAAAUUCCAGAACUCUGGCUUAGUCACUAGGAUGCACAAAUGAAUGUCUAUUCUGUUUAUAACCACCACAUCCUGAUAAAUCCAUUCUUCAUGCUCCAGAUCUCUCAUGGUAGGGAGACAGUUCUUCCAAAACACUAAAAACUUUGGGGCUAUAGUCAGUGACCUUUUCCUCUCCGUUUCUCUUUAGUGAUGUGGUAAAGGGGUUGGUUUCUCUCCUUCAUUCUCAUGGGCCGUUAGUGGGAGGAGAUGUUCCAUUAUCUGAGCUCUAAUGAGCCCAGUAACUGGAGAAGAAGGGCCUGUGCGGGUGAUUUAAUUUGAAACUCAAUGGUCCAGUUUUUCUAGCCAGCUUUAUUCUGGACCCCAGAGCCCACAGAGUGGGGGUGUCUUGUCACCAGUCAGAUCCAGUACCUGCAGUGGUUUUGAGGGGGACACGAGGCCAGGAGGGAAGAGGAAAAGUGAAGGGAGGAGAGAAGAGGAGGACAAAGGAGGAGGGAGGGAAAAAGGGAGGAGAGAAGCCAAGCUCAAAGGAAGUACUGCCUGUUGUUUUUGCUAAUAACAAUGGCCCUUGAAAUUACCCAGGCCCAGGCAACAGUUCCUGCAUGCUCUGUGCUUUGCAGCUUUAGGGGCCUAAUCAAAGCCCUCCAGCUUUUAUAGUUGAUUCAAAAUGUUCCAGAGAAAAAAUGUGGCUUGUUGUGGGCAGCUUGAUGGCCUACUUCCAUGUGGUAAUGGGAUGGUUCCUGUCUGCUAGUCUAGAGCCCAAAUGGCCGUGGGCUACAGGUAGCAAUCCGAGGACAAACCUUAUUAAAAAAAAAAAAAAAGAGUGGGCCUGAUUUUUAUGUCUUUCACCAAACCCUUGUGUAUUUACCCAUCGGUAUGUUCUUCAGUAAUUCAUCCAUUCAUCUCACAUCCAUGAUCCACAGAAAAUAGCCCUCUCCUGCAGGCGCUCCCCUCGCAAGAAAAUAGCCCUCAGGAAAAUAGCCCUCUCCUGCAGGCGCUCCCCUCGAAUACACCAUGUCCCUGGGCUCCAUCUUUGAUGACACAUAGUACUCGCUCCUCCUUUGCUCCUUCAUUUGUAUGAAAAUGGGAGAGUUGGGCCUUCUCUUUCCUAAGGCUAGUGUUCUUUCUGGCUUCCUCAGGAUCCAAAGUUCCUUCUCCCCGGGGUUUUUCCAACAUCAUUUAAGUGUCUGGGUGACGGGCGCUCAGGAGGGCGCUUGUCUGAUGAGCACUGGGGGUUGUAUGUAAGUGAUGCAUUCGACUCCAGAAACCAAUCUUGCACGAUAUGUUAAGUACCUAAAAUUUAAAUGAAAAAACAUUCCACUGGGGUCCCUAGCCUCUCAGGUGUGACUCCAUCCCUCUCUUCCCAUACCCAGCCUGAAGGUGCCAGGAAUGUCCCUUUACCUCCUCUUCCAAUGAACACUGGGCUUUCAGCCCUACACUCCCUGCAAGUGCUCUCACCCAGGGCACCAUGGCCUCAAGAUAGACAAGCCCCAUAGCCAUCCUUUGUCCCUGCCGGCUGGGCCAUUCUAUGCUGCUGAGCACUGCCUCGUGGGAGCAUUCUGGUCGCCUGGCUCUGGCUGCUCUCAUCUCCCUGGUUGGCGCUUACUGACUUCUCCUCAUGGUCCGUAAAUAUCGGUGCCUCCCGGGGCUCUGCUCUGCCUCUUUCGCUACCCCUAUCUUGCUGCUUCAGUUCACAUUCACAUCCCCACGGCUCCCAGACCUGGAGCUGUCCUCUGCUCUGCGUCGCCCUCACCCGCUGCCUGGACUGCCAGAGGCACCCGCUUUGCUCCUCCAGCUCAGUUUCCACCACGACACCAGAACGAUCUAACGUCCAGCUUGUCAUGCCUCUCUUCUGCUCGAAACUCUUCUGUAAUCUCAAGGUCACCUUGAAGCUAAAGUCUAAAAUACUUCAUCUGACCUACUGGAUCCUUCAUGAUCACAUUUGCUCCUCUGCAGGUGUUCUCUUUCUGGAACACUCUUUCCAGGAUUGGGUAUCUGGCUAGCAAGUAAUAGGCUCUCAGGGGCUGAGUUGUGUGUCCUAACCUCUGGAAUGUGACUGUAUUUGGAGACAGGGUCUUUAAAGAGGUGAUUCAGUUACAAUGAGGUCAUGAGGUGGGCCCUGAUGCAAUGUGACUGGUGUUCUUAUAAGAAGAGGCGAUUAGGACAUAGACAUGCACCGAGGGAAGACCACGUGUAGACAUAGGGAGAAGGUGGUUAUCUACAAGCCCAAGAGAGAGGCCCCAAAAGAAAGCAACGCUGAUUGCGACUUAGGCUUUAAAUGCACUUUAAAGUCACCUGGUCAGGGAGAGGCCUUCCUUGACUCACCCUCAUAAAUUCCUCCCCUACCCUCCCUUUCCCUUUUGUCACACUUCCUAUGUGUGGAAUUAUUUAUUCUUCAGUGGCUGUGCUCCUGGCAAGUCCGUAAGGUUCUAUGAGUGUAGGAACUUUGGUUUGUCUGCUUACGGCCAUAUUCAGUAUUGGUGGCAUGACUGACUGAAUAGGCAAGUGGGCAGAUUUUAAAGCAUUGAUGGGAAGAUCCUCUGAGCUGAAAGACCACCGGAUUCACUUACGCUGAUUCGAGGGGGUGUGAGGAAGGAAAGACCGAACCCUGAUUCCUUAGUCUUGUCUGUCUGUCCUUGUUUAGGAGUGAGCUAAAUGAUAGCAGAAUUUUAAGAUGUUAUUCGAAUGGUAGUGUGGAUUUGAGAGUCAGGUCCUCUUCACCUCUUCAGUGAAGAACCUACCUGGAAAAGAACCCUGUGAGAGGAAUGUGUUGACAGGGAGGAGGUGGAGCUGGGCAAAGCAGCCAGAGGGCAUCAGGGUGGGGUUGGCAGCAUGGGGUGUGCGUGGGGAGGAGAAUGCUGGAAAGGUAGGUUUUUGCAAGGAAGACACUCUUCACCCACAACUCAAUCUCUGGUACGGUUUCCCUGGAAUAAAGAAGGGUCCAACAGGCUGCUCCUGUUUGGUAACUAUUGAGUGAGACAGAUGUGGAGGGAGGGAUUCCAGAAGGCUCCAUGAGACAUACCCCAGCUUAUGUCUGUUUAGACUAAAUUUCUCCUUGUAGUAUUUUGUCCUUUUAAACUGAGGAUGGGAGAGGGACCCAGGUUCCUCGGAACAGGAAGGUAAGAAGGCAUCUCUGGUCUUCUUUUCGCAUUUUCCACAGUUCCCCUUUCCAGAGCAUCCCCUCACCUAACCUUUUGGGUGACGCCUCCAGCCCAGGAGCCCACCCCUCCUUGAAAUCUGUCCACUCUGGGGCGGGGCUCUGGCCCAAGUGUGCAUCUCAUGACCCCUUUCCGCUGGCAUUGGACUGAGAUGGGCCCA